UACGAGGGGUGCAAGCGUUGCUCGGAAUUAUUGGGCGUAAAGGGCAGGUAGGUGGUCUCAUUUGUCAGGGGUGAAAGCCUUGGGCUUAACCCAAGAAGUGCCUUUGAAACGGUGAGACUGGAGUCUUUGGGAGAGGGUCGUGGAAUUCCCAGUGUAGCGGUGAAAUGCGUAGAGAUUGGGAGGAACACCAGAGGCGAAGGCGGCGACCUGGACAAGUACUGACACUCAACUGCGAAAGCGUGGGUAGCAAACAGG
rnacentral:rRNA from 1 species